AGUGAACGCUGGCGGUAGGCCUAACACAUGCAAGUCGAACGGCAGCACAGGAGAGCUUGCUCUCUGGGUGGCGAGUGGCGGACGGGUGAGGAAUACAUCGGAAUCUGCCCAGUCGUGGGGGAUAACGUAGGGAAACUUACGCUAAUACCGCAUACGACCUUCGGGUGAAAGAGGGGGAUCGCAAGACCUCUCGCGAUUGGAUGAGCCGAUGUCGGAUUAGCUAGUUGGCGGGGUAAUGGCCCACCAAGGCGACGAUCCGAAGCUGGUCUGAGAGGAUGAUCAGCCACACUGGAACUGAGACACGGUCCAGACUCCUACGGGAGGCAGCAGUGGGGAAUAUUGGACAAUGGGCGCAAGCCUGAUCCAGCCAUACCGCGUGGGUGAAGAAGGCCUUCGGGUUGUGAAGCCCUUUUGUUGGGAAAGAAAUCUUUCAGGCUAAUACCCUGGGAGGAUGACGGUACCCAAAGAAUAAGCACCGGCUAACUUCGUG
rnacentral:rRNA from 1 species